ACCCCGAUAGCUUAGUCGGCAGAGCAUAGUGCUUAUACCUUUCGCAUCUUCUUUUGCCGAAGAGCGGGUGUUUUCGUCGCCAAUUUGGAGACGCUAGGGAGGCGAGUUCGAUUCUCGCUCGGGGUA